rnacentral:rRNA from 1 species
AUGGCAAGUCUCAUUCAUUGGGAUUUUUCCCCUGGUCUCAAGGUGGAACAGAAGGUACGUGCCAAGUUCAGAUCUACGGUGCACUUUGAUAGUUCUUCGGGGACCAAGGAAUUUUUCUUGGUUGUUUCUUUCUCGUCGGCCUCCUUACCUCUUUCUGAAGAGGCGGUAGGAGUGGUUUUACAAUGCUGCAUUGGAAGAUUGCCCAUGGGUUUCAAUGUCAAGCAAUUGGGAGAUCGGAAUUUUCGGUUUUCGGUGGCUUCUAAUCGUGUUGGUCAUUUCAUUUAUGGUUUGAAAGAUCGUGUUUGUCCAAGUUUUGUGUGUCACUUCCGCUUGUUCAAAUCUUCGGUGGAUUACUCUUGGAAGGGUUCUGAGUGGCAUCUUGAUGAAGUUAUUCCGGAGGUUGUGGUCCGAUCACCUAUGGCUAUCAGGAGUUCUCUAGGGUUUCUACGUAAAAGUGCACAAGGAGAUACCUCGUCUAACCCUGAGUUGGCAAAAUUCGAAAUCUCUCAUGCCGAAGACAGGAACACCACUGCCUUUCCGGAUCAUAUCUUGGAUAAUUUUUUGGAGAUGCGGGAUCGUUCAUCAAAUGCUAAUUUGGUUUCCAACGUUAAUUCAAAUGAGUUGGCUUUUGGCAGCUUUCAUGCGCGUAUGUCACGGCCGGAUCAUUAG